rnacentral:rRNA from 1 species
AGCGAACGCUGGCGGCAGGCCUAACACAUGCAAGUCGAGCGCCCCGCAAGGGGAGCGGCAGACGGGUGAGUAACACGUGGGAACGUGCCCUUCGGUUCGGAAUAGCCCGGGGAAACUCGGAGUAAUACCGGAUACGUCCGUAAGGAGAAAGAUUUAUCGCCGAAGGAGCGGCCCGCGUCUGAUUAGCUUGUGGGUGAGGUAACGGCUCACCAAGGCUACGAUCAGUAGCUGGUCUGAGAGGAUGAUCAGCCACACUGGGACUGAGACACGGCCCAGACUCCUACGGGAGGCAGCAGUGGGGAAUAUUGGACAAUGGGCGCAAGCCUGAUCAGCCAUGCCGCGUGAGUGAUGAAGGCCCUAGGGUUGUAAAGCUCUUUCGGCGGAGAAGAUAAUGACGGUACCCGCAGAAGAAGCCCCGGCCAACUUCGUGCCAGCAGCCGCGGUAACAC